AUGCCUGUCCGGCUGCAUACUUUUCUUAGUUCGGCAAGGCAUAUCAGCAAUUCAUCUGUGUUCAUUUUUCAGUUCAUUGCUUUCCAUCUUAGCCCACUUUUGAUUCACUUGUCCUAUUUUGUUGUCAUUGAUGUACUUGGCUUUGCUGCCUUGAUGGCCCUGAAGCCAAGCAACCCUAACUACAGUCCUCGCUAUGUCGAUAUAUUUUUCCUUUCGACAUCUGCAGUCACAGUUACAGGAUUAGCUACCAUCAAAAUGGAGGAUCUUUCUACCUCUCAAGUAGUUAUCCUAACUCUCUUGAUGUUGUUAGGAAGUGAGAUGUUUGUUUCCCUGCUUGGCCAUAUUCAUGAGUUGAGCAAGCAAAACAAGCAUGACCCUGAAGAUAGUAGAGUUACAUCGGUUACCGUGCAAGAUGAGUCGCAGAUAGAAGAGGCAAUCCCGGCAACACCAUCAAUUAAUACCACUAGCCUCAAGAAGAGUUGCCGCAAAUACAUAGGAUUUGUGCUGUUGGCAUACAUGGUCUUGAUUCUUCUUGUAGGUUCUCUAUUGGUGUUCUUGUACGUAGCACAUGUUUCAACUGCAAGAGAUGUGCUAACAAGGAAAAGUAUCAAUACCAUGCUCUUCUCGAUAUCAGUCACCGUCUCUUCUUUCACCAACGGAGGGCUGAUUCCGACGAACGAGAGCAUGGCGGUUUUUUCCUCAAACCAGGGCCUCCUCCUGCUACUCACUGGCCAGAUUCUUGCAGGCAACACCCUGCUUCCUGUGUUUCUGAGGCUGAUGAUAUGGGCACUGAGAGGACUAAGAAUAACCAGAGCUAAACCUGAAGAGUUGGAGUUCAUGAUGAACAACACAAAGGCCUUGGGUUCUAACCACUUGCUGCCUAACAAGCAGACAGUAUUCCUUGCAGCAUCGGUCGCUGCUCUCAUAGCCGUGGCCGUCACGUUUUUCUGCUGCUUGAACUGGGAAUCCGCAGUGUUUGCGGGGCUGACCCCCAAUCAGAAGAUCACCAACGCAUUGUUCAUGGCGGUGAACACAAGGCAGGCAGGGGAGAAUUCCAUUGACUGCUCCCUCGUCGCUCCUGCGGUUUUAAUACUAUUCAUCGCCAUGAUGUGCAUCCCGGCCUCGACAUCAUUUCUCUCACUGCAUGAAGGUGCCGAGAGGGGCAUCACAGAACACAAGGAUGGGGCAAACAAGAGAAGAAUGUCGCUGAAUAAAAUGCUGUUUUCACCACUAGCCUGCACCGCAGUGCUGAUAAUGCUGGCCUGCAUCACCGAGAGGAGAUCGCUCUCCGCCGACCCCCUCAAUUUCUCCACAUUCAACAUGAUCUUCGAGGUCAUAAGCGCGUACAGGAACGUAGGACUGUCCACCGGUUACAGCUGCGCGAGGCUGCCGCACGCGGAGAAGCAGAGCGUCUGCCAGGACAUGCCCUACAGCUUCUCCGGGUGGUGGAGCGACCAGGGGAAGGUGGUUCUUGUCCUGGUGAUGCUCUACGGGAGGCUCAAAUGCUUCCACAGGCAGAGGAGCUAG
rnacentral:rRNA from 1 species